GAUGAACGCUGGCGGCGUGCUUAACACAUGCAAGUCGAACGGAAAGGCCCAAGCUUGCUUGGGUACUCGAGUGGCGAACGGGUGAGUAACACGUGGGUGAUCUGCCCUGCACUUCGGUAUAAGCCUGGGAAACUGGGUCUAAUACCGGAUAGGACGAUGGUUUGGAUGCCAUUGUUGAAAGUUUUUUCGGUGUGGGAUGAGCUCGCGGCCUAUCAGCUUGUUGGUGGGGUAAUGGCCUACCAAGGCGUCGACGGGUAGCCGGCCUGAGAGGGUGUACGGCCACAUUGGGACUGAGAUACGGCCCAGACUCCUACGGGAGGCAGCAAUGGGGAAUAUGGCACAAUGGGCGAAAGCCUGAUGCAGCGACGCCGCGUGGGGGAUGAGGGCCUUCGGGUUGUAAACUCCUUUCGCUAGGGACGAAGCGUUUUUGUGACGGUACCUGGAGAAGAAGCACCGGCUAACUACGUG
rnacentral:rRNA from 1 species